UACGUAGGGCGCAAGCGUUGUCCGGAAUUAUUGGGCGUAAAGAGCUCGUAGGUGGCUUGUUGCGUCUGCCGUGAAAGCCCGUGGCUUAACUACGGGUCUGCGGUGGAUACGGGCAGGCUAGAGGCUGGUAGGGGCAAGCGGAAUUCCUGGUGUAGCGGUGAAAUGCGCAGAUAUCAGGAGGAACACCGGUGGCGAAGGCGGCUUGCUGGGCCAGUUCUGACGCUGAGGGAGCGAAAGCGUGGGGAGCGAACAGG
rnacentral:rRNA from 1 species